UACGUAGGGGGCAAGCGUUGUCCGGAAUCAUUGGGCGUAAAGAGCGUGUAGGCGGCUUGGUAAGUCCGCUGUGAAAGUCCAGGGCUCAACCCUGGAAAGCCAGUGGAAACUGCCAAGCUAGAGUCCGGAAGAGGCGAGUGGAACUCCUGGUGUAGCGGUGAAAUGCGCAGAUAUCAGGAAGAACACCAAUGGCGAAGGCAGCUCGCUGGGAAGCGACUGACGCUGAGACGCGAAAGCGUGGGGAGCAAACAGG
rnacentral:rRNA from 1 species